UAGUUGACAAAUCGAUACCAUGUAAUGAUAGUUGGUUAAACCAAAAAAAAAGUAAUAAUAGUUGAUGAUAUGAUCAUAAGAAGGAUGUAUGAAUGAAAUAACGGUGGAGAACUGGGGUUUUCGAGGAGAGAUCGAGGCCAAGGUCGAACAGACAACGAAACAAAGAUGAGAACACAUAAGAUUGCUCACUUUGACAAGCCUAGCAUCGAAUCGAACCACUCUUGAUCGUCUCCAUCUUCUGAUAUCCACCAUUUAUAAACCCAAUAUUAUUCUUAAAGAAAUUUUUUUUUUUUUUUUUGUAAGAAGGAGCCCUAGCUACUUAUAGAACAAGAUAUGCAAUGGAGGAUGAGAAUCCACGCAACCAACCAUGAGUUAAUAUAGGGAUUCUUGAAAAGGCUUGACAAAACAUCUGGGCUAGAGAGCCUCACACGUGUCAACCAAUCACAAGUCACGAACCCUUUGGUUUGUUGACUCACGGGUGGUUCGUGUGCAUGCCCUCUCUUCUAUUUCGAGCGUGCGGAAUAAAUGUACACACACACAAAUUUAUACUUAUACACUAUACCGCAUACCGCACCUACCAACGUCUCUUGUGAAAACGGAAACAAGAAAGAAAAGUUGUAUUAUAUUGACCGUGAUAUGAAGAUUCGAACCCACCCAUGUGCGUAGUUAUAACUAAAUUUCC
rnacentral:lncRNA from 1 species